rnacentral:hammerhead_ribozyme from 1 species
AUCCGGCUGACGAGUCCCAAAUAGGACGUAAAGUGCAUCUUAGAU